rnacentral:rRNA from 1 species
GUCGAGCGAACAGACGAGGAGCUUGCUCCUCUGACGUUAGCGGCGGACGGGUGAGUAACACGUGGAUAACCUACCUAUAAGACUGGGAUAACUUCGGGAAACCGGAGCUAAUACCGGAUAAUAUAUUGAACCGCAUGGUUCAAUAGUGAAAGACGGUUUUGCUGUCACUUAUAGAUGGAUCCGCGCCGCAUUAGCUAGUUGGUAAGGUAACGGCUUACCAAGGCAACGAUGCGUAGCCGACCUGAGAGGGUGAUCGGCCACACUGGAACUGAGACACGGUCCAGACUCCUACGGGAGGCAGCAGUAGGGAAUCUUCCGCAAUGGGCGAAAGCCUGACGGAGCAACGCCGCGUGAGUGAUGAAGGUCUUCGGAUCGUAAAACUCUGUUAUUAGGGAAGAACAAAUGUGUAAGUAACUAUGCACGUCUUGACGGUACCUAAUCAGGAAGCCACGGCUAACUACGUGCCAGCAGCCGCGGUAAUACGUAGGUGGCAAGCGUUAUCCGGAAUUAUUGGGCGUAAAGCGCGCGUAGGCGGUUUUUUAAGUCUGAUGUGAAAGCCCACGGCUCAACCGUGGAGGGUCAUUGGAAACUGGAAAACUUGAGUGCAGAAGAGGAAAGUGGAAUUCCAUGUGUAGCGGUGAAAUGCGCAGAGAUAUGGAGGAACACCAGUGGCGAAGGCGACUUUCUGGUCUGUAACUGACGCUGAUGUGCGAAAGCGUGGGGAUCAAACAGGAUUA